UGGAAGGCUCUGCAGCUGCUGGUGUUAUCCUGACCAGUGAGUUGCUGGCUGGCAUUGGCUCCCUGGAUCCUGGAGCCUUGUUGCACAGCGAUCACCCCUGCUGCUGCACAUUUUUAUGAGUGCAGCAUGCAGGCAAUAAUGCAGUUAAUGGUGGUGGCUGAAAAAUACUGUUUUGUAGCUGAGAAUUUCCUCUGUCAAAUAGCGUUAUUGUGCUCUUCGUAUCAGUUGUAGUUUCCAUCAAAAUAAAUAGGAGACAUUACUUUCAGAGCGACCUACAUACAUGUGUCUGGAUGGCUCAGUGCUCUGUUCACACCACCUUCACCCGGUCCUGCUCUCUGUAUCCUCUAAGGAGAGGCAUAAGCACAAGCCCUGCUUUCCCAGCCCAGCUGCUUCCACCACACAGAGGUGCAACCGUAGCAGUGACUGAGCAGAGCUGCAAGCAAGAUGUCAUCUGGAGAGGAGCAAGCUGGAAGAGUCAAAGUUGGCCUGCAGGAAGGCUAGAAACCAAACCAGGUGUGAGCUUCCCAAGCCAGGCAGCUUCUUCCUUCCCUUCCCUGUGCCACACUGGCCAUGGGGCACUGACUGACUGCUGCUGGGUGCAGUUGGCAAUGAACACCUUGCAGUGAGUAUGCCUUUCCAAAGCCGCUGCUCCUGGCCUGAGGUUCUGAGUGGCAUGCAAAUGCUCAAGCGUACUUGCUGGCUUGUUUCCCUUGAUGGCAGCACAUAAAUCAUUCAGAACUGAGCCCUCACACCAGCUUGCCAGCGGGGAAGGAUUCGGCCUCUGCUUGCCCAAGUCACUACUCUUCUCACCCAGAGCACCACCAGUGGUUCUCACCUGGGAUGUGAUGCCUGAUGGGAGCGCAGCACAGCUGGAACUGCUUUAAACCUCAUUUUAAUUAACAGUAGCUGUCCCAUGUUCUUUUAAAUAUCCUGAAGGAGGCUCUUCUUUUAAAUAAAAGGUCCACAUUGGGUGAAGCCAGGAGUUUGCUUAGCUCAGCAUGCUCUACCCUACAAAAUGCCCUGCAAUUAACCAGCGCCUGUGUAGUGUAAAUCACAACAUGAUUCUCGGCAUGAGAACAGAGACAAAGUCACCCCUCAGCCAGACAAGGACAGAGAGCUCAGGAGCGCAGAGCCAUGCACCUGUUUAUCCAUGACUUUGGAAGCUUCAAAACUGGCGCCAUAGAAAAUGAGGACAGACAGCACUUCCACCCAAGAGCAGCCAGGAGCCCGGUGGUCAGUGGGCCGCCCUGCAGUACAGAGUGACUGCUGAGGCUGUGUGGGAUAAGAGAGAAUCCAACUCUGUAGAGCAUCCCUGGAGGCAUUCAAGGCCAGGCUGGAUGUGGCUCUGGGCAGCCUGCUCUGGUGGUUGGUGACCCUGCACAUAGCAGGGGGGUUGAAACUCAAUGAUCAUUGUGAUCCUUUUCAACCCAGGCCAUUCUAUGAUUCUAUGAUUCUAUGAUCUCCAGUCCCAUUGCAAGAAUGCAUCACUUCAGAGAGAGUUCCUCUUGGCAAUAAGUUUCCAGGCCCCGGUUUGCAGGAAACAGAAAGCAGUUCUGUCUGCUUUCAGGUAGGUCACAGGACCUUG
ensembl:lncRNA